rnacentral:lncRNA from 1 species
AACAAUCAGAAGCAGUUCAUCAGUUCAUCUGUGCCUCUGCAUUUAACAAACAGUGGACUGAUAUUCAAAGAGCAGUAAAUGUACUAUGUAUAAGGGUGAUACUAUGUUCUUGAAUAUUUGUGCAACACCUUAAACCAACCGAAAACAUAAUAAGAAGAACGAAAAGCGAUAAAAAAACAGAGAGUUUAAACAACCAAUUUAUUUAACUUAUAUACACACACUAUCGGUAUAUUUUAACUUGUCGUAAUAGGUAAUCUGCCUUGUUAUCCAGAUUACUAAUACAACUUUCUAAGGACAAUUAGUGUGGUGGCUUCUUAGGCACCCUAAUAGUCACCUAUAUUAGGUAUAGUUAUCCUUUAGAGUUGAAAUUCUAUCCAUUAAUGGUAUAAAAAUAUUUAAACAAUGAGGUCACUUAUUAACUAGUAAUUACAUGUUAAUCUCUAGUAAGUAUUAACUAGUAAUCUGCUAAAUAUUGUAAUCAACCCACAAGUUUAUAUCCACUGAGUAUAAUAAUAACCUUUACAUGACGGCGUAUAUAACUUAAAUCCUACUCCAUCUUUUAGGCACGGGUUAAAUUCAAAAAUAGUCAGAUUUACAAGUGGUAAUUAAAAAAUAGCCACAUUUUCAAAAGUAAUCAAAACUUAGCCACUUUUCAUGUAAAGAUAAAUCUGAACGAAAACCCUAUUCAAAAUCCGAAAAAUAUUCCAGCAUAAUAUACUGGAGUUCGAAUUUUUUACCUAUGAACUUCCAGCAUAAUAUACUGGAGUUCCAGCAUAAUAUCAUGGUGCUGAAAGUUCAUACACAUGUGCUCCUCCAAUCUCCAGUAUAUUAUGCUGAAAGUUCAUACACAUGUGCACUAAUCUCCAGUAUAUUAUGUUGUAACUUUCCAUGUUGCAGCAAAAUAGUGGCUAUUUUUCAAUGACUUUGCAAACGUUGACUAUUUUUCAAUUACCAAUCCGAAAAUUGGCUAGCCCGUGCUAUUUUUACUUUAGGCACCUCAUAGCCACACAACCAAUUCACAAGAAACUGCAGAAAUGCUAACCUGUUUAGCCCAAUGCAGCUGAAAAUCAGGCCUAAACAACUGUUUCAACAUUGCAAUAUUAAACAAAUAGCCAUCAAUUGAAUCAUGUUUUGUAAUUGGAUCCCUAUACUUCACAUAAUCAUCAUAUGCCUUACGAUCAAUACCUUGAUCAUCAAAAAGAUGAGGCAAAUCCUCAUAUAAAAAUUCCACUAAUUGGUUCAUAUCAACUGUUGGUUUUUUGGUUGGGCUCUGUUUAUCAACUAAACUAAACUUAAUUAAACACUUGAUUUUUCUGUCAUAUUUAAGAGUUUUUGUUUUGAUAUUUUUUGGAGGAGUGAGAAAGACUGAAGUAGGGUGGCAUUGCCGGAAAGUGGUGCGCCGGUGAAGUGAUGGCCGGAAAAUGAGGUCGGAAAGUUGUGAGGUGGCCAUUUGUUUUUAGUAGUGAUGUUUUUAGUUUGCAUGUUGUAAAAGGAUGUCUUUGGCUUACGUGUAAUAAAUAUUGACCAUAGAAAGGAUUGGUUGUGAUUUAUUGCAGGUCCCUCAUUUGUUUUUUUUUUCUUUUUAAAUUCUUUUAAUUUAAGUAUAAGUUAUAAUUUAAAUAUCGAGGUUGGUUAAGUUUUUCUAUUCUGAACUUUCUUUUGAUUAAUUUUAAUUUCAUUAUCUCCGGGCAAAUCUAAUUCGACACAAAUCUAACUUAAUUCGAUACAAAUCUAAAAAGAAAAAUAAACUUCUAAAACCUAUAUUUGAUAGUAUGCAAGUCUGAUCGGGCUUUGGUAAAAAAUUGAUCAUUUUCCGACCGUAAUCGGUCGAAAAUUUUAACAGUGUCAGAUAAAGUAAACUUUCUUUUUUGUGGGAUCACAUUUUUCUACUAAUUGCGGUCGGUAUUUUUAUUUACAAUUUGUUAUUUGAUAUUUUCGACCAAUUUACUUCGUUUCUGACCGAUGUCAGUCGGUAUUAUUUCCAAUCAAUUUCUGUCGGUAUGCUCUGGAUGCUUUUUUGACAGUUUUCUAGUAGUGGAAUUAGCCUCACAUAAUGAUGUGAAUUGUGAUUGUAUUGAUAAUUCCAUAUAUAAUUGGUCAUGACAUGAUUAUUAUAUAUAAUCAGCAAAUUAUAAAAUAGUUUUGUCUAUCAUGUGAGUAUUAGUAGUCUAUUAAUGUCAACUGUCUAGGCUUAAGUGCUUAACGUACUAGUGAACUUUUGAAGGAAUUUUUAUCGACCAGCAUUAACGGUAGAAAGCUUAGAAGAGUGAUCAAAAUUUAAUCACUAACGAACAAGAUAAAUGAAUAAUAUCAUCUACAAGUAAAUGCUAUCAUUAACAUGAAGUUUAGACAGUUAUACGUUACAACUAUAUACACUAAAACAGUUAAUAGAAGUUAAACUACAGGUAAAGAUUAUGUAAACUGAUAACGUAUAGAUAGUUGAACAAUUAGGUUAUAUUGACUUACAACAAUUGAUCUACAUAACGAGUUUGACAUCUUAUAGCCUGUUAAAUUUCAUUUAUAGUGUAGAAAUUCACUGUGAAAAUAUAUCGAUGAAGGUGAUGGUCACAGUUGUUGAUAGUCUCAUGAGCUUCGGAUGAGACAUUUAGUAGACGCUUAGGACAUAAAAAUGUGAUUUCUAAAAGAAAACAAAGUAGUGUUUGGAUCGGAGUUAAGUUGAAAAAUAAUAUUUGAAAUUUAAAGUUAUGUUUGGACAUGUAUUUCACUUGAAAAAAUAUUACAGUUUUGUAAGAGAAAGUGAAUUUUUACUUCAAACUUAAAACUCAUUUUCAAAAAAAAAAAAAACACAAAAGUUCAGUCCAAUUUGAUAACCAAACAUGGCUUGAAAAUACGUCUUUUGGAUAGAAGGAAAAAAAAUAAUGUUCAAACGACUCCUUGACAUAUUAUUUCAAUGUUCUUAAUUUAUGUAAGAGACUGAAGACCAGAAUGUAUGAAAAUAUGCCAUGUAAAAAUUGUCAUUUCCAUUCGAUCAUCUCGACCUACUAUUGUUAAGAACUACAAUUCGAUCAUUUGGACCUACCUCGCAUUUAUGCAAGAGUCGGUUUUCAUGGCUUGAACCCGUUGGCAACUACUAAUUACGCCAUGCUCCCAACAAAGGAAGUUUAACUAACCAAUUAACAAGAAGGGUAGAAAUACUAACCUGUUUAGCCCAAUGCAGCUGAAAAUCAGGCUUAAACAACUGUUUCAACAUGGCAAUAUUAAACAAAUAGCCAUCAAUUGAAUCAUGUUUUGUAAUUGGAUCCCUAAACUUCACAUAAUCAUCAUAUGCCUUACGAUCAAUACCUUGAUCAUCAAAAAGAUGAGGUAAAUCCUCAUAUAAAAAUUCCACUAAUUGGUUCAUAUCAACUGUUGGUUUUUUGGUUGGGCUCUGUUUAUCAACUAAACUAAACUUAAUUAACCACUUAAUUUUUCUGUCAUAUUUAAGAGUUUUUGUUUUGAUAUUUUUUGGAGGAGUGAGAAAGACUGAAGUAGGGUGGCAUUGCCGGAAAUUGGUUCGCCUGUGAAGUGAUGGCCGGAAAAUGAGGUCGGAAAGUUGUGAGGUGGCCAUUGUUUUUAGUAGUGAUGUUUUUAGUUUGCAUGUUUUAAAAGGAUGUCUUUGGCUUACGUGUAAUAAAUAUUGACCAUAGAAAGGAUUGGUUGUGAUUUAUUGCAGGUCCCUCAUUU